rnacentral:rRNA from 1 species
GAUGAACGCUAGCGGCAGGCCUAACACAUGCAAGUCGAGGGAGAAGCCCUUCGGGGCAGAAACCGGCGCACGGGUGCGUAACGCGUAUGCAACCUACCUUUCACAGGGGGAUAGCCCGAAGAAAUUUGGAUUAAUACCCCAUAAUAUUGUUGGAUGGCAUCAUCUGGCAAUUAAAACUGAGGUGGUGAGAGAUGGGCAUGCGUCCUAUUAGCUAGUUGGAGUGGUAACGGCACCCCAAGGCUACGAUAGGUAGGGGUCCUGAGAGGGAGAUCCCCCACACUGGUACUGAGACAGGGACCAGACUCCUACGGGAGGCAGCAGUGAGGAAUAUUGGUCAAUGGUCGGAAGACUGAACCAGCCAUGCCGCGUGCAGGAAGAAUGCCUUAUGGGUUGUAAACUGCUUUUAUAUGGGAAGAAUAAGGAGUACGAGUACUUGAUGACGGUACC